CCUACGGGCGGCAGCAGUGGGGAAUAUUGGACAAUGGGGGGAACCCUGAUCCAGCCAUGCCGCGUGUGUGAAGAAGGCCCUCGGGUUGUAAAGCACUUUCAGUGAGGAAGAACGCCUGGUGGUUAAUACCCAUCAGGAAAGACAUCACUCACAGAAGAAGCACCGGCUAACUCCGUGCCAGCAGCCGCGGUAAUACGGAGGGUGCGAGCGUUAAUCGGAAUUACUGGGCGUAAAGCGCGCGUAGGUGGCUUGAUAAGCCGGUUGUGAAAGCCCCGGGCUCAACCUGGGAACGGCAUCCGGAACUGUCAAGCUAGAGUGCAGGAGAGGAAGGUAGAAUUCCCGGUGUAGCGGUGAAAUGCGUAGAGAUCGGGAGGAAUACCAGUGGCGAAGGCGGCCUUCUGGACUGAAACUGACACUGAGGUGCGAAAGCGUGGGUAGCAAACAGGAUUAGAUACCCGAGUAGUC
rnacentral:rRNA from 1 species